UACAGAGGGUGCGAGCGUUAAUCGGAAUUACUGGGCGUAAAGCGCGCGUAGGCGGCUUUGCAAGUCGGGUGUGAAAUCCCCGGGCUCAACCUGGGAACUGCAUUUGUGACUGUAGAGCUGGAGUACGGCAGAGGGGGAUGGAAUUCCGCGUGUAGCAGUGAAAUGCGUAGAUAUGCGGAGGAACACCGAAGGCGAAGGCAAUCCCCUGGGCCUGUACUGACGCUCAUGCACGAAAGCGUAGGGAGCAAACAGG
rnacentral:rRNA from 1 species